AUAGAGAUAUUUAUAUUUUUUUAUAUAUUGUCAGGAAUUUUAUCCAACUUCUAAUUUUUCGAGAUGAUCAUUUAUUAAUUUUAGUGUUCUGGACAAUAAUCGAUAGAUCAAAUUUGGGUCAGAACGAUUAUAGAUCGGAUUAGAAAAUGUGUAGAUCGGAUUCUAAUAUCAUAUUAGA
rnacentral:sRNA from 1 species